GCUUGUCUCAAAGAUUAAGCCAUGCAUGUCUAAGUAUAAAUAAAUCAUACUGUGAAACUGCGAAUGGCUCAUUAUAUCAGUUAUAGUUUAUUUGAUAGUCCCUUACUACUUGGAUAACCGUAGUAACUCUAGAGCUAAUACAUGCGCAAAUUCCCGACUGCCGCAAGGCGGAAAGGAUGUAUUUAUUAGAUCAAAACCAAACGGCUUCGGCCGUCUCAUUGGUGACUCUGAAUAACUUUGGGCUGAUCGUAUGGCCUUGUGCCGACGACGUUUCCUUCGAAGGUGUGCCCUAUCAACUGUCGACUGUGAUAUAGACGCUCACAGUGGUUUUGACGGGUAACGGGGAAUCAGGGUUCGAUUCCGGAGAGGGAGCCUUAAAAACGGCUACCACAUCCAAGGAAGGCAGCAGG
rnacentral:rRNA from 1 species